UCGUGCACAUCGCCGAAUUCUGCCGGUGCUCGAGGUUCCUGAAGAGAUAUCGCUUGGCAGAAGCGGGGGAACCAUUUUCGGUCCCGGUGAUCCGGGGCCUUGGGGUUAAGCCGGCAGAGCGCGUGCGCUCUGCCGGCCGGGUGUCUCCCACCCGCAUCCGACAGCUCACCUCGUAGGCAAAGGGAGGAACU
rnacentral:sRNA from 2 species